rnacentral:rRNA from 1 species
AUUGAACGCUGGCGGCAGGCCUAACACAUGCAAGUCGAACGAGUGGCGGACGGGUGAGUAAUGUCUGGGAAACUGCCUGUGGGAGGGGGAUAAAUACUGGAAACGGUAGCUAAUACCGCAUACCAUCAGAUGUGCCCAGAUGGGAUUGGCGUGUUGGUGGGGUAACGGCUCACCAAGGCGACGAUCCCUAGCUGGUAUGAGAGGAUGACCAGCCACACGGGAAGUGAGACACGGUCCAGAGUCAUACGGGAGGCAGCAUUGGGGAAUAUUGCACAAUGGGCGCGAGCCAGAUGCAGCCAUGCCGCGUGUAUGAAGAAGGCCUUCGGGUUGUAAAGUACUUUCAGCGGGGAGGCGUUACCCGCAGAAGAAGCACCGGCUAACUCCGUGCCAGCAGCCGCGGUAAUUC